rnacentral:rRNA from 1 species
CCUACGGGAGGCAGCAGUAGGGAAUAUUGCUCAAUGGGGGAAACCCUGAAGCCGCAACGCCGCGUGAGCGAAGAAGUAUUUCGGUAUGUACAGCUCUAUCAGCAGGGAAGAAAAUGACGGUACCUGACUAAUAAGCUCCGGCUAAAUACGUGCCAGCAGCCGCGGUAAUACGUAUGGAGCAAGCGUUAUCCGGCUUUACUGGGUGUAAAGGGAGCGUAGGCGGCUCUGUAAGUCUGAUGUGAAAAUUUGGGGCUCAACCCCAAACGUGCAUUGGAAACUGCAGGGCUUGAGUGCCGGAGAGGCAGGCGGAAUUCCUAGGGUAGCGGUGAAAUGCGUAGAUAUUAGGAGGAACACCAGUGGCGAAGGCAGCCUGCUGGACGGUAACUGACGCUGAGGCUCGAAAGCGUGGGGAGCAAACAGGAUUAGAUACCCUUGUAGUC